AAUAUUGUAUUUCAUUUAAUAUUUUAUAAUUGUAGUGAUGCCGUGAUGAGCUUUCCUGAUGUCUCCUUCAGAACGUAGGUACUCAUCUCCCCUGCCUCUGGGAGAUAUGAAUGGUGAUGUGUCUGAGCUGAGUCUCCCUGUUUGGAGUUACCCUCAGCCAAAGAAGGUUGUUUUGCCAAAGUCAUGUCCCUUCUACAGGGGUCAACAAGACCCAAUGUCUGAUAGAUGUGGAGCUGUAGGGGUUCAGGUCCCUUGGCUUAGGAUGGUACAACACGGAACAAUGACUCCAAUUUCAGUGCUCCCUUUUGGAUCAACUGAAGCCUCAGUCAUAGCUGUGUUGUACUUCAAUUUCUCCCCCUGGUCAGUCCUAUGUUAUUUAUUCUCUCUCAGGUGUUGAUCCCCCCCGCCAAGUGUGCUCCCCAGGUUUCUGUCCUUCAUGCACAUUUUUGUCUCAGCGUGUAUCCUGGGAAAUCUGAGCUUAAACAAUUGGUUUCAGGUGUUGUCUAAGAAGUCAGACUUGAAAAUGGAUUUUGAAGUUGGACCACUAGCCAGUUAACUAACUGUGGGAGCCCUGUCAUUAAUGAUAAAUGAAGAACCUGAAUCCACUGACUUUGAGAAAAUCAAAAAGGACAUUAUUCUGGGUGGACCUGUCUUAAAUGAGGACAGAGGAAGGAUGUUCUGUUUCCCAGAGCCACGGUUACUAUGAAAAUGAAGAAAUCAUUCAGAUUUGUGAAAUGAGAAACUGGGACAUUCUACGGGUAAGAGAAGAAAGCCUCAAGUGAGCCUGCGUACAACUCCAGUAAAUACACAGCACAUGCAGCCCCUUCAAAGUGCUGGCAGGCCACUGCACAUGGACACCCCACUCCAAGAGAACAAUCAGGGAAGAAGGAAGUCAAGACUCCAGAAGCAUGACAACAUAUAAAGCCCGAAGUCAAAAGGUGCUGUUCUGGAACAUUGGCAUCAGGAAAUAAGAGAGCAAAGGAGGAGAAAAAGAGGUUUGGAGUUGAGAGGAGGAAGAUUAAAAGGUUUUUAAAACUGUUUUUAUGAUUUGAAAAGUUUACAAAAGUCUUAAGAAGAGAAGAAGAAUGGAUCAGUAUACAAUAAUUGUCACUGCUGGGGAGAAACAAAACAACAGAUAAACAAAGUCUUGAACUGUGGAGUUUUGUAAAUCGCUA
rnacentral:lncRNA from 10 species